rnacentral:sRNA from 1 species
GACUAGCCCUGAUAGAAGCGGCAUCCUUUUAUUUUUUUCUUUAAAAAAUAAAAGAUACAGCGGAUAGCAGGAUUAGCU